rnacentral:rRNA from 1 species
GAUGAGCGCUGGCGGUAUGCCUAACACAUGCAAGUCGUACGCCUCACUUCGGUGAGGAGUGGCGGACGGGUGAGUAACACGUUAGUACCUGCCCCAAAGUGGGGAAUAACUGCCCGAAAGGGUAGCUAAUACCCCAUAGUCUCCGGUUUAUCCGGAGUAAAGAUUUAUCGCUUUGGGAGGGGCUUGCGUUUGAUUAGCUAGUUGGUGAGGGUAAUGGCCCACCAAGGCGACGAUCAAUAGCUGGAUCGAGAGGUUGACCAGCCACACUGGGACUGAGAUACGGCCCAGACUCCUACGGGAGGCAGCAGUGAGGAAUCUUCCACAAUGGGCGAAAGCCUGAUGGAGCAAUACCGCGUGCAGGAUGAAGCUUUUCGGAGUGUAAACUGCUUUUCUGAAGGAAGAUUAUGACGGUACUUCAGGAAUAAGGAUCGGCUAACUACGUGCCAGCAGCCGCGGUAAAAGUGUAGUGUA